GACGAACGCUGGCGGCGUGCUUAACACAUGCAAGUCGAACGGAAAGGCCCUGCUUUUGUGGGGUGCUCGAGUGGCGAACGGGUGAGUAACACGUGAGUAACCUGCCCUUGACUUUGGGAUAACUUCAGGAAACUGGGGCUAAUACCGGAUAGGAGCUCCUGCUGCAUGGUGGGGGUUGGAAAGUUUCGGCGGUUGGGGAUGGACUCGCGGCUUAUCAGCUUGUUGGUGGGGUAGUGGCUUACCAAGGCUUUGACGGGUAGCCGGCCUGAGAGGGUGACCGGGCACAUUGGGACUGAGAUACGGCCCAGAAUCCUACGGGAGGCAGCAGUGGGGAAUAUUGCACAAUGGGCGGAAGCCUGAUGCAGCACCGCCGCGUGCGGGAUGACGGCCUUCGGGUUGUAAACCGCUUUCGCCUGUGACGAAGCGUGAGUGACGGUAAUGGGUAAAGAAGCACCGGCUAACUACGUG
rnacentral:rRNA from 1 species